rnacentral:rRNA from 1 species
UACGGAGGGGGCUAGCGUUAUUCGGAAUUACUGGGCGUAAAGCGCACGUAGGCGGACUGGAAAGUUGGGGGUGAAAGCCCAGGGCUCAACCCUGGAACUGCCUUCAAAACUCCCAGUCUUGAGGUCGAGAGAGGUGAGUGGAAUUCCGAGUGUAGAGGUGAAAUUCGUAGAUAUUCGGAGGAACACCAGUGGCGAAGGCGGCUCACUAGCUCGAUACUGACGCUGAGGUGCGAAAGCGUGGGGAGCAAACAGG